rnacentral:rRNA from 1 species
GCGCACCAGUCGAGAAACCUUCGCAAUGCAGGAAACUGCGACGAGGGAACUCCAAGUGCCUACGCUCAGCGUAGGCUGUUCUCAAGCCUAGAAAGCUUGAGGAGUAAGGGCUGGGUAAGACGGGUGCCAUCUGUGGUAGCAGUCAAUAGAUUCGAUUUGUUACUGCAAGGCAUAAGCCGCCGCGGUAAUACCCGCAGCCCAAGUGGUGGCCGCUUUUAUUGGGCCUAAAGCGUCCGUAGCCGGCCCGGUAAAUGCCUGGGUAAAUCGUGGAGCCCCAACUUCACGAAUUCCGGGUAGACUGCCGAGCUCGGGACCGGAAGAGGGAGAGGUACUUCGAGGGGUAGGGUAGAAAAUUUCCUUUCAUUAACGCUUUGCGCGAAG